rnacentral:rRNA from 1 species
UUGAACGCUGGCGGUAUGCUUUACACAUGCAAGCCGAACGGGCUUGAGGGGCUUGCUCCUCGAGUUAGUGGCGAACGGGUGAGUAACAUAUUGGAACAUGUCCGGAAGUGGGGGAUAACGUAGCGAAAGUUACGCUAAUACCGCAUAUGCCCCGAGGGGGAAAGGGGGGGAUCGCAAGACCUCUCGCUUUCGGAGUGGCCGAUAUCAGAUUAGCUAGUUGGUGGGGUAAAGGCCCACCAAGGCGACGAUCUGUAGCUGGUCUGAGAGGACGACCAGCCACAGUGGAACUGAGACACGGUCCAGACUCCUACGGGAGGCAGCAGUGGGGAAUUUUGGACAAUGGGCGCAAGCCUGAUCCAGCCAUACCGCGUGAGUGAAGAAGGCCUUCGGGUUGUAAAGCUCUUUCAGCCGGAAAGAAAUCGUGCAACUUAAUACGUUGUAUGGAUGACGGUACCGGAAGAAGAAGCACCGGCUAACUACGU